GUGAAAAAGUUAAGUGACAGCACCCAGGUUGGUCAAGUCCCAGUACCGGCACAAAAAAAUAAAAUGUAUGUAUGCACAGGAGAGCAAUGUCUUUCAGCAUUAUCCUAAUCAUUCCCUUUGACUUGAUAUCAACAGAUUACUGCUGGCCCUUUGGACUGGAUAAACCCACUGGGACUUAGUGGAAAUUUGUUGUUGGUGGAGGUGGGAAGGGAAUUGGGGCUGCAGGCAAGAGUGGGUUAAUGUAGUCUGAGCAAGUGACAUGGGGUCUCUGUCUCUUUGUGAUGCUCUAAAGUACCAACCACAGGGCUGUGGCUGCGAUUCACUGUGAUCCACGGGUGCCAGCCACACCUGAGCAUCGCUGCUUUUUAUGCUGUGUUGGUGAUGAGUCAAUACUUUGCUCUUUUUCUUCGUCUUUGUAGUGUUGGCCCAGGAGCCUCAGGCUUGUUUCAGCUAAUAUGGAAAUUCUGAGUCUUCUGUCUCUUUACCAUUAGGCUCUUUGAAUUGUGCAUAUUUCUAAUUUGUUUUAUUUUUCCACCGGUGCCAUUGAAGGAAUUAAUUUUUAAUUACACAGAAUGUUUGCCACUUGGUGGAAGAUGGAUGUUUGUAUUUAAGAAGCCACAUUUGUGUUCUAGUUCAACAUGAGGAAAAUGGAAAUGUUCAGUAGCCUGUAGCCUUCCCUGGGACAAGGGACAUUUACUGUGCUUGCUGUAGCUUGCCAUGAUUGUGUAUUCUACUGUUUUGCCAAAGUGUCUUCAUACCAAAUUGAAGGUGGUUUUAUAAUACGCCUCAUAGAAGUUCUCUAUAACCUUCUAAGGUAUUUCAUUUAAGAUAAAACUCUUAUUUAUUCAAGUGGAUUCAAUCAAGUAGAUUAGAAUUUCCAGAAAGUGGUAGAGUCUGUUUAGAA